rnacentral:rRNA from 1 species
GGUGACCUCCUGGGAAGUCCUCGUGUUGCACCCCUA